UACGUACUUCCUCCGUUUGAAAAUACUUGUCAUUUUCUAGAACUAAAAUACAUCUAGAUGCAUUCCCUUUUAUUCAUUUUGAUGACAAGUAUUUUCGGACGGAGGGAGUAUUUG
rfam:Triticum aestivum genome assembly, contig: Triticum_aestivum_CS42_TGACv1_scaffold_094184_2AL